GAAUUUCUUCGGUGGUCUAGUGGUAGAGCGUCCGCCUUAGAUGCGGAAGGUCGCAGGUUCGAACCCCGGUUGAGUCA